rnacentral:misc_RNA from 1 species
GAUGAAGAACGUAGCGAAAUGCGAUAAGUAAUGUGAAUUGCAGAAUUCAGUGAAUCAUCGAAUCUUUGAACGCACCUUGCGCCCUUUGGACAUUCCGAAGGGCAUGCCUGUUUGAGUAUCAUGAACACCUCAACUCUCACGGCUUGUCCGUGAUGAGCUUGGACUUUGGGGGUCUUGCCGGCCUGUGGUCGGCUCCUCUCAAAUGGAUCAGCUUGCCAGUGUUUGGUGGCAUCACAGGUGUGAUAACUAUCUGCGCUUGUGGUUUUCCAUCAGAUAACCUUCAGUGAUAUGGAGGUUCGCUGGAGCUCACAAAUGUCUCUCCUUAGUGAGGACAGCUCUUUGAACGUUUGAUCUCAAAUCAGGUAGGACUACCCGCUGAACUUAAGCAUAUCAAUAAGCGGAGGG